GAAUCCAACUGUUCCAAACAUCUGUGAGAUCAAAGUCUGAAGUACAGCUCCUGCUUUCAUAGAAGGCCUCUGGAGAGGCAGGACUCAACCCUGUUAAUUAAUUGCACUUGUACAGCUCCUGGUAUGGCUGGCAGUAUCUGAGACUCUUGCAACCUUCCAACGUAUGCCGCUGUAAAGCUGAAAGGUGAUUUAUUGCAGUUGUACAAAGAAAGAGCAGAAAUGCAUCAAAGCUUGUGCUUAUAUGAUGAGAAGCGAGAAGAAAUACAAAC
rnacentral:lncRNA from 1 species